AUGGCGAGCUCGGCGCUGAGGCGAUCUCUUCCACGGCGCGGCUCGCUCCGCCGCCUCCUCCCUUCCCACCCACCACCCGCCGCCACCUCCUCGUUCCGUCGCUCCUUCCAGUCCGAAGAGGGCGCGGCGGGCGAGAGCACGGAGGACUUUGAAAAGCGGAUGUUUGGGAACCAGAGGGAGCCGGAUGCCAACUCGUUCUUCGGGAAGCUCGAUGGGGUUGGGAGCUCCUUCGGAGGAAGACAUGGCACCGGCUCUGGGAUGGGUGCCUUCAGUCAGCAGGGUGGGAUGGGUAACUUGUUUGGUGAGAGGAGUGUUCAUGGGAUCAUGGAUGGUUUCGACUCCUUGAACGAUGGCAUGAACGAGAAGUUGGACGACGCGGCCCGCACCUUUCACAUGACGGAUGAGGUUGAGGACGAUGACUAUGAUUUCAGGCCAGAUGUGAAUUACAGGCGAGGCUCGACUUACAAUGUCCGGGAUCUUGACCUAACAAAACCUGCAGCCCCAAGGAAUCCUCCUAGACCUCAGUUUGAAACAUCUACAAAGGAAGUUUUAAGGAAAGCUGAUUUUAGGAAUGUUAGAUUCCUUGCCAACUUUAUUACAGAGGCUGGCAUUAUCAUCAAGAGGAAUCAGACCAAGAUAAGUGCAAAAGCUCAGCGCAAGGUGGCGAGAGAGAUUAAAACAGCGCGUGCACUGGGGCUGAUGCCUUUCACGACGAUGGGCAAGAGACCAUUCAUCUUUGGCAGAAGUGCGGAGGAGGAUGCUUCAGAAGAGGAAUAUGGGUAUGAUUUUGUCCAGAAGGAUGCUGGACCUGAAGAUACUGCUGGCGAUGCUGUGCCCGAUGUGGAGACUGCGUAA
rnacentral:rRNA from 1 species